UGGGGAAUUUUGGACAAUGGGCGAAAGCCUGAUCCAGCAAUGCCGCGUGUGUGAAGAAGGCCUUCGGGUUGUAAAGCACUUUUGUCCGGAAAGAAAUCCUUGGUCCUAAUAUAGCCGGGGGAUGACGGUACCGGAAGAAUAAGCACCGGCUAACUACGUGCCAGCAGCCGCGGUAAUACGUAGGGUGCGAGCGUUAAUCGGAAUUACUGGGCGUAAAGCGUGCGCAGGCGGUUUGCUAAGACCGAUGUGAAAUCCCCGGGCUCAACCUGGGAACUGCAUUGGUGACUGGCAGGCUAGAGUAUGGCAGAGGGGGGUAGAAUUCCACGUGUAGCAGUGAAAGUGCGUAGAGAUGUGGAGGAAUACCGAUGGCGAAGGCAGCCCCCUGGGCCAAAUACUGACGCUCAUGCACGAAAGCGUGGGGAGCAAAACAGGAUUAGAUACCCUGGUAGUCCACGCCCU
rnacentral:rRNA from 1 species